GCUGAAUCCUUGCAGCCUCUGGACAGAUGUGGGAAGGCACCACCUCAAGAAGGGAGGAGCGGGGCUUGUCCUGGUCGGGCGGACCUGAGUGCGGCGGCCGCUCUCCAGGAACUGGAAGGGAAAGCCAGGUGGCUCUCAGGGGCCAUUGGUGUCUGAGGCGGGCAGGUCGAACGCCCAGGGCACUGCGCCCCGCAACUGCCGCUCCUGCAAGGAAAAACUCUGGGUGCGUAUGCGGCUUGUCACCUCCUGGGUGCGCAGCGUCAGCCCAAAAAUGUCUUCGUGGUAGCGUUGCUGAUCCUGUCGGGAAAGUGCGCAGUGGAUGAGAACCCCAGUCGGAGACCUGAGCGGGAACCCCGCACGCCCUGGGCCUGGUCCCCGCCCUGGCUCGCCCCUCCGCACCCGCAGCACGCCGAUGACAUCGCCGGCCUCAUCCAGCUCCAUGUCGCCCUCCGUCGCCAGGAUGCGCUGCACGGUCUGCAGGACGUUGGUUGCCAUGGUGACAUCGCCGCAGACAAACAUGUGGCCCCGCUCAAGACACAGCACGCGGUGCACCUCCGCAGCCAGCUCGGUCCUUAGGAUGUCCUGCACGUUACCAUUGCGCCCUCAGGGUCUCAUACCUUGGGAUUGUCGGGUUCCCGGGAGAAGGCGGUGAGGACUCGGCCAAACACCCCGCGCUGCUGGGCGUCUUGCACUUCGUCGCGGUAGAGAUGGUCAAGUUGGGAGCAUCGGCAGCCGAACACCAAAGUCAUGGGGGCGGGCUGCAGCCCUGCAAGCAACAGCGGCUUCGGAAGGCCCUUCUCCCAGGCACAGGGCCAGCAGUGCCUCCCCACUGGCCACCAUCGCCCAGCCUGGCAGCCUAGCGUUUUGGGCUGAAGCCACCCUUACUUUGGCUGUUUCAUCUCUAAGAGCGUGCAGAAUGCUUUCACAGAGAUCCUGCACAUGCCUGAUUUACAGAAGGAAGGGAAGCGCAGGUGAAGUGAUUUCCUUCAUGUAGGUGGCCCCUAGUGGAGCUGUGCUAGAAUGUGUGGCUUAGGACUCAGAAUUCUAUGCCCUUUGCAUUGUGUGACAUUGCAGUCCCCUUCCUUGCUCCCACACCAUAUUCUCCCACACCAUAUUCUCCCACACUUUUAAUUCUCCUCCCAGUCACAGCCCUCUUCUUUUGAUUGACAGACUACCCUGGGCACCCCAUGCUCAAUCUGAACACCUUGGAGCAUUCCCUAGGUCUUGGACGGACCCUGGUCAGCUCUGGCACAGUCCAGAAUUCACCUCGGGCAGUUCUUCUUUGAGUCUUAGCCCUAUCCCUUCCAAAAUUCGAUUUUCCUUUGUCCAUAAUCCAGUCAACACCUACUAUGUGCCAGGCACCAGGCAGGCAGACACACAGGGCCCAGCCCUUGCCUCAGUACCUACCCUCCCCUCCAUCUCUUGAGCAUCUUUUCAGCUUCGUGGCCUCCAUUUCCUGCCCUGUCUUUCCUAUCUGUUUCUUGCCUUCCAGCCACACCCCUCUAAGCAGUCCUCUAGUCCCCAGCCUCACCUUUGCUCUCAAUGUCAUGCAGCCGUUCCUGCCAGAAUCCCCGGAAGGGGGCAAUGCCAGUGCCUGGGCCCACCAGGAUGCAGGGCAGGCUGGGAUCGGGCGGCAGCCGGAAGGAGGGAGCCCUAGCAGGAGAGAUACUCCAUCAGGUCCCCUUUGCCUUCCCUGCUCCCCUGUUCUCACCAUGCAGGGCGGGUGGAGCCAGGAGAACCCAAGCUCUCCUGAUAAAUGAGGUGAUAUUUGUGAA